rnacentral:misc_RNA from 1 species
AAAUGCGAUAAGUAGUGUGAAUUGCAGAAUUCAGUGAAUCAUCGAAUCUUUGAACGCACAUUGCGCCCCUUGGUAUUCCAUGGGGCAUGCCUGUUCGAGCGUCAUUUGUACCCUCAAGCUCUGCUUGGUGUUGGGUGUUUGUCCCCGUCUCCGCGCGUGGACUCGCCCCAAAGUGAUUGGCAGCCGGCGUACUGGUCCCGGAGCGCAGCACAUGUCGCGCAAACGAGUGCCUUGGUACGGCGGCGUCCAUAAGCCCCUCUCUCACGCUCUUGACCUCGGAUCAGGUAGGGAUACCCACUGAACUUAAGC